rnacentral:rRNA from 1 species
UACGAAGGGGGCUAGCGUUGCUCGGAUUGACUGGGCGUAAAGGGCGCGUAGGCGGAUAGUACAGUCAGGCGUGAAAUUCCUGGGCUCAACCUGGGGGCUGCGUUUGAUACGUAUUGUCUGGAGUUCGGAAGAGGGUCGUGGAAUUCCCAGUGUAGAGGUGAAAUUCGUAGAUAUCUGGAGGAACACCGGUGGCGAAGGCGGCAUCCUGGACCGAUAUUGACGCUGAGGAGCGAAAGCUAGGGGAGCAAACGGG